UGCCGUCGACUUCAACGCGCGCCGCUGCCCGGCUUCAAUGCGCGCCGCAACCGACAUCCGAGAACGGUGCGCGAACAACGCGCCGCAGUCGUCUACCCUACCCACUAUGUCUUAUGACGCAGACGAGUCCCCUCUAUCCCGCACGACCAGACCGAUGCUGAAAAUCCGCACAACGCGCAUUUGCGUAUGAACGUACUUGCUUCGCGUGCACCAGACGUCGUCACCACCACUGGGCACUGGCACCACUCGUCAGUGUGAUCUAUGGUUAGGUAACUGGCACGAGUGUGGUGGAGCCUGGCACCGUCCUGCACUGCGUAGACGCAGCAAUGCCAGCCGCCGCCGGGUCGCUACAACUAAACUGCUACGAUAAUCCACUGCCCCGUUGUUGUAAUUUGAUUUUUUAUAAUUUUUUUAUACUCGUUGAAUCAUUUUAUUGCAAGAAACUAAAUAUCAAUAAUCAAUAUUAGUACAUAUUAUUAGAGUACACUGCAAAGUGUUAAAUUUACUUAAUAUAAUGUUCCCAUCGUGCUAACUAAAUGUAUGCCGUUCCUUCAUUAAGUUACUAUUGAGAUUGGAAAAGGUUAUUCACUAGCAAAAAAAAUCAAAUUGAUGAUUUAUUACCUGUUUGUAUGAAUUAAUGCAUUCAAUUAUUACAAGCAUAUUAUAUACUGAGUUGUUUGAUGGAAUUAUAACAACUACCCAUCAUGUACCAUUUGAACUAAUUCCAUUACUUUUGCAAACAAAUCCGAAAUAAUGGUAAAGAACAACUCAAAUGUUAAAUAAAUAAGUGGUCAAAUCUUAUAGCCGAACUUACAAGGAACACAUAUUUCAUUUUGUUUAGAGGUCUUAGAGAUGCCUAUGUGAGCUUUAGAUACGUUUCAAAAAACCAAGAAGAAUCUAGAACAUUGUGCCCAUAGUUGUAUGGAAGAUAAUGCAUUAAGACAUAUUUAUCACCGGCAACUAUUGAAUACAAUUAUUAUAAUUUAUGCUAAUCAUAAAUAAAUACUGUUUUAUCUUACUGCAUUGUAUAUUUAUUAUUUAUAUUAUCAGCAUACUAUAAAUUAUAUGU